GUUACCAUUGUUGCUAAAAUGCACUUUUUAAAAACAAAAUAAUAGUAUAUAUUUCAGGGUCAUGACAAAAAUUAGCCCGUUAAAACAAUGCAUAGUAUGAGUCGAAUUUAUUAUAAACCAUCACUACAUAAUAUGUACAAGUGACCUAUAGUUUUACUUAUAUUUCUCUUAAUGUCUUUAUAACUACUCUAAUUGUCAUCUUAUAUUGGUCUACUAGUCGUUUUACAAAAGACUUAUUCUAUAUUACUAUUAUUCUUGAAUUUAUGACAAGAUUGGACUAUAUUCGAUACUAUGGAAAACAAAGCGGACCGUUGGCUUGGGUUGUUGGAAAACUCAAAAAGCAAUGCCAGUUUGGCUCACGAUAAUAUACUGAUGAAAGGUCGGUGCUCUUCUGCGUUUCGAGAAUACUGGACUCAUUGGAUCAUAACAUCUGUCUUCUUAUUCGCCAUGUACUUUGUGAUCUGCAAGUAUCUAGAGUGGUCGUACUACGUAAAGCGUAGAGAAAACCCCGCUGAUUGGAAGUGCCAGCCAACCAAAUGGCCAAAACGAAACGAUCGGCUGAACGAAAUCAAACACAGUCUCACCGCGCUGACGACCGCCACUGCCAUGAUAUCAGUUUAUAGCACAUAUUUAUUUUGUGGCGGACACAGUUUACUUUACUUGGACAUCAGCGAUUACUCUUGGAUGUGGUGGAUUGUUCAAUGGCCGCUGAUAUACUUUUUCCAGGUAUAAUUUUUUUUAUUUGUAUACGUUAAAACAUCUUUUGUAGGUCAUCUAAGCCUACAGUACAGU